CAACAUGAUUGCAAUCAAGAAAAAUCAUUGACAAAAUGUAGUUUUUGGGACUGGAUCACAACAAUCCACGCUAUUCUUAUCGCUUCUUCUUCUUUUUUUUCUUCUUCUUUUUCUUA
rnacentral:ribozyme from 13 species